rnacentral:lncRNA from 1 species
CAGACGUGUGCUCUUCCCAUCUGUCGUCUUCACAGAUUCGCAAGCAGCUAUACGAAACUACACCAAAGGUCGUGUGUCUGUACAAGCACUGAAGAUAUUGAAGCGCCGAAGCACUCCGAUGCCGUACACUUGUGUGACAUGGGUUCCUGGGCACGAGGGGCUGGAGGGGAACGAGGCGGCACACGCCGCAGCCCGCGAUCACGUCUUCCGGGCUGUCCCCUCCCACUCUCCAGACGCCGGGACUGCGUCCGCGGAGGCUGAGCCCGUACCCAUCACAUACUCUGCAAUACUGCAACAUCAAAGGCUAGAACGCAGAGAGUACCCCCCACCACAUUCAAAGCUCAAAAA